rnacentral:tRNA from 1 species
GUGGGUGCAGCUCAGCAAUAGAGUGCCUGCUUAGCAUGCAUGAGGUCCUGGGUUCAAUCCCCAGUACCUCCA